rnacentral:rRNA from 1 species
AACGAACGCUGGCGGCAUGCCUAACACAUGCAAGUCGAACGAGACCUUCGGGUCUAGUGGCGCACGGGUGCGUAACGCGUGGGAACCUGCCCUUAGGUUCGGAAUAACUCCCCGAAAGGGGUGCUAAUACCGGAUAAUGUCUUCGGACCAAAGAUUUAUCGCCUUUGGAUGGGCCCGCGUUGGAUUAGCUAGUUGGUGGGGUAAAAGCCUACCAAGGCGACGAUCCAUAGCUGGUCUGAGAGGAUGAUCAGCCACACUGGGACUGAGACACGGCCCAGACUCCUACGGGAGGCAGCAGUGGGGAAUAUUGGACAAUGGGCGAAAGCCUGAUCCAGCAAUGCCGCGUGAGUGAUGAAGGCCUUAGGGUUGUAAAGCUCUUUUACCCGGGGUGAUAAUGACAGUACCGGGAGAAUAAGCUCCGGCUAACUCCGUG